GCAUUAAUGGGGUAGUGGUAACCUGGGUCGUUGCCACUCAUACGGGUUCGACCCGCCGGGGGUUCGAUUCCCCCUUAAUGCA
rfam:Daedalea quercina L-15889 unplaced genomic scaffold DAEQTscaffold_97, whole genome shotgun sequence.